GCGAACGGGUGAGUAAUGCUUCGGAAUCUACCUUGUAGUGGGGAAUAACCUGGGGAAACUCAGGCUAAUACCGGAUACGCCCUUCGGGGGAAAGAUUCAUUGCCGAAAGAUCGGCCCGCGUCGGAUUAGCUAGUUGGUGGGGUAAUGGCCUACCAAGGCGACGAUCCGUAGCUGGUCUGAGAGGAUGACCAGCCACACUGGGACUGAGACACGGCCCAGACUCCUACGGGAGGCAGCAGUGGGGAAUAUUGGACAAUGGGCGAAAGCCUGAUCCAGCCAUGCCGCGUGGGUGAAGAAGGCCUUAGGGUUGUAAACCCCUUUCAGCGGGGAAGAUAAUGACGGUACCCGCAGAAGAAGUCCCGGCUAACUCCGUGCCAGCAGCCGCGGUAAUACGGAGGGGACUAGCGUUGUUCGGAAUUACUGGGCGUAAAGCGCACGUAGGCGGACUACUAAGUCAGGGGUGAAAUCCCGGGGCUCAACCCCGGAACUGCCUUUGAUACUGGUAGUCUCGAGUCCGGAAGAGGUGAGUGGAAUUCCGAGUGUAGAGGUGAAAUUCGUAGAUA
rnacentral:rRNA from 1 species